CGAAUUCCUCCCCUUGGAGGUCAGGUACCAAAUCUGAUUCAUCUUUGAAUCCUUGAGAUCUUGUGGUUUAUUUGUGGAUCCUCUGUGAUGGUUUGAUGGAUGAAAGAAGGAAGGAAAAUGAGUAUAUGGUAGAGAGAAUGGGGAUGGUGGUGGUCUAGUCGCUAAGUUGUGUCUGACUUGUGACCUCAUGGACUGUAGCCUGACAGGGUCCUCUGUCCACUGGAUUCUCUAGGCAAGAAUAUUGGAGUGGGUUGCCAUUUCCUUCUCCAGGGGCUCUUCCCAACCCAGGAAUUGAACCAGGGUCUCCUGCAUUGCAGGCAGAUUCUUUACCAACUGAGCUAUGAGGGAAGCAAGCUUCCUUAAAUGAGUUGCUGUGGAAGCUCCUCAGAGGGACAUACUGUAGAAUAUCGCUACCCAAAGUGUGCAAGGCCCCGCACACAUCACCUGGGAGCUUCUUACAAAUGCAGAAUCUUAGGGCUUAGCGCAGACCUUCCAAUCCAGAACUUGAAUUUUAACAGGAUCACAGGUGACUAAGGAUACUAAAGAUUGGAAAGCUCUGUCCUCAGGAGUACUAGAGAACUGUUUUUUCCCCCUCAGACUGGCUAAAUCAUAAGAAUUACCUGAGAUGUUUGUUUCUGUAUUUCAUCAAAUCUUAGAUGGCACUGAUUGGAAGAUCAUUCUGAUUUCAGAGAUGUUAAUACAUGUUUUGAAAAGAGUGUGUUUUUGAAUCAAUAAGUUCCAGUUGUUGUUGUUGUUUAGUUGCUAAGUUUCGGACACAACAGAAGUGAUUUAGUGCAAGCACAAUAUAGAUGACAUUCUGCAUGGUUUACCUGGUCCUUGAUUUUAAAAUUUUUUUUUUAGAUUUAUCUUGUUCAUUGUUGAGAGCACAGCAGCCUCAAAAUUCUUAAAGGCCACCAAACCAAUUUAGUCUGGAGUUAAAACACAGAAGAGUAUUAAGUGGGUAGGGUAUAGAGGCUAUUACAGAUUUUCAUAGACUUCUGUUGCUUUCUAUUUCCUUGAUUAUAAAAAUAAUGGAUAUGUAUGGUAGACAGUUUUUAAAAUGCAAGUAAGCAUAAAGAAGAAAAUAAAUAUAACCCAUAAUUCCACCACUCACAGAUAAUCAUUUGUUAAAUUUGUUGAGGUGGUUAUUUUCUAUGCAUCUGUGUCAAUUAGGACCAUACUGUAUUGUACAGAUUUUUGCACCCAUUUUUUCCACCCUAAUUUUACAUUGUAAACAUUUUCACCUUAUUAAGAAUUUCUUCAGAACAAUUUUUAAUGGUUGUAUUUCAUUGUGUGCAUAUGAC
ensembl:lncRNA